rnacentral:rRNA from 1 species
CCUACGGGGGGCAGCAAUUAGGAAUCUUGCACAAUGGGCGAAAGCCUGAUGCAGCGACGCCGCGUGGAGGAUGACGGCCUUCGGGUUGUAAACUCCUUUUGUUGGGAAAACGGUACCCAACGAAUAAGCUCCGGCUAACUCCGUGCCAGCAGCCGCGGUAAUACGGAGGGAGCGAGCGUUGUCCGAAGUUACUGGGCGUAAAGCGCGCGUAGGCGGGAAAUUAAGUGAGAAGUGAAAGGCUGGGGCUUAACCCCUGCAGUGCUCCUCAUACUGGUUUUCUUGAGGGUGGUAGAGAGAAGUGGAAUGGCUGGUGUAGCGGUGAAAUGCGUAGAUAUCAGUCGGAACACCAGUGGCGAAGGCGGCUUCUUGGGCAUACUGACGCUGAGGCGCGAAAGUCAGGGGAGCGAACGGGAUUAGAUACCCUUGUAGUC